rnacentral:rRNA from 1 species
GGGGAAUUUUCCGCAAUGGGCGAAAGCCUGACGGAGCAAUACCGCGUGAGGGAGGAAGGCUCUUGGGUCGUAAACCUCUUUUCUCAGGGAAGAAAAAAAUGACGGUACCUGAGGAAUAAGCAUCGGCUAACUCCGUGCCAGCAGCCGCGGUAAUACGGAGGAUGCAAGCGUUAUCCGGAAUGAUUGGGCGUAAAGCGUCCGCAGGUGGCGAUGUAAGUCUGCUGUUAAAGAGUCUAGCUCAACUAGAUAAAAGCAGUGGAAACUACAUACGCUAGAGUACGUUCGGGGCAGAGGGAAUUCCUGGUGUAGCGGUGAAAUGCGUAGAGAUCAGGAAGAACACCAGUGGCGAAGGCGCUCUGCUAGGCCGUAACUGACACUGAGGGACGAAAGCUAGGGGAGCGAAUGGGAUUAGAUACCCCAGUAGUCCUAGCCGUAAACGAUGGAUACUAGGCGUGGCUUGUAUCGACCCGAGCCGUGCCGUAGCUAACGCGUUAAGUAUCCCGCCUGGGGAGUACGCCGGCAACGGUGAAACUCAAAGGAAUUGACGGGGGCCCGCACAAGCGGUGGAGUAUGUGGUUUAAUUCGAUGCAACGCGAAGAACCUUACCAAGGCUUGACAUGUCGCGAAUCUUCUUGAAAGGGAAGAGUGCCUUCGGGAGCGCGAACACAGGUGGUGCAUGGCUGUCGUCAGCUCGUGUCGUGAGAUGUUGGGUUAAGUCCCGCAACGAGCGCAACCCUCGUUUUUAGUUGCCAGCAUUAAGUUGGGCACUCUAGAGAGACUGCCGGUGACAAACCGGAGGAAGGUGGGGAUGACGUCAAGUCAGCAUGCCCCUUACGCCUUGGGCUACACACGUACUACAAUGCUCCGGACAGAGGGCAGCAAGCGGGCGACCGCAAGCAAAUCCCGGAAACCGGAGCUCAGUUCAGAUCGCAGGCUGCAACUCGCCUGCGUGAAGGAGGAAUCGCUAGUAAUUGCAGGUCAGCAUACUGCAGUGAAUUCGUUCCCGGGCCUUGUACACACCGCCCGUCACACCAUGGAAGCUGGUAGUGCCCGAAGUCAUUACUCCAACCUUUCGGGGGGGAGGAUGCCUAAGGCAGGACUGGUGACUGGGGUGAAGUCGUAACAAGGUAGCCGUACCGGAAGGUGUGGCUGGAUCACCUCCUUUUUAGGGAGACCUACACCCCUUACAUAUCGAAAAGCACACAGUUAAAUAGAUAGUAAGUUGGUCUAACCUUAGGUCGGUCGAGAAUUGGUAUAAAGCUUUCAAAGUAUUAAUGGUUCGGAAUAUCAAACAGAAUUAAGAUUUAGUGAGAAAUCAGCAACAUGACAAAAUUUGUCAGACUGCUGGGUUAUUUCUCAGCCAGAACCUUGAAAACUGCAUAGUAACGCGAAAAAAGCAGGCAGACAUAGAGAAUCUUUACAGAUGUUUUUGUGAAUGCAAGUGAUAAAAAGACCAAAAAUUUGAGUGGUCAAGCGAAUAAGGGCUAACGGUGGAUACCUAGGCACACAGAG